CAAUAGCGUAUAUUAAAGUUGUUGCGGUUAAAAGCUCGUAGUUGGAUUUCUGUUGAAGAGAGCCGGUCCGCACUAUGUGCGUGUAUCUGGUUUCGCUUCGGCAUCCUCUCAAAAUACGUUUCUGCGCUUGAUUGCGUGGAGCGGAGUUUGAGACUUUUACUUUGAGGAAAUUAGAGUGUUCACGGCAGGCAAUCGCCUUGAAUAUAUUAGCAUGGAAUAAUAGUAUAGGAUCUUGGUUCUAUUUUGUUGGUUUCUAGAGCUAAGAUAAUGAUUAAUAGGGACAAUUGGGGGCAUUCGUAUUAACGCGUCAGAGGUGGAAUUCUUGGAUUGCGUUACGACGAACUACUGCGAAAGCAUUUGCCAAGGAUGUUUUCAUUGAUCAAGAACGAAAGUAAGGGGAUCGAAGACGAUUAGAUACCAU
rnacentral:rRNA from 1 species